AAAAUUGAAUCUUCAAAAUAAAGUUUUAUAUUAUUCACGUUGGUUUUCCAACUACGACGAUAAACGAAUUUCGUAAUAAACAUUGCGGACGUGGGUUCGAUUCCCACCACCUCCACCAUUUACAACUUACGGGGGUGACAAGGUAUCGACGAGUGUGUAAAAGCUAUUCUUUCGUUCGGGAUUGUUCCGUCGUUAUCGGGCUAAAUUAUAAUUGCAAAUGAUAAAUUUGCUCUCGCUGCUUAAUUAAUUUUAAGAAAGCGCGGUUUUGGGGCACCGGGCAACAGAACGCCCCUUAAU
rnacentral:tmRNA from 1 species